rnacentral:rRNA from 1 species
CCCUUAGAUGUUCUGGGCCGCACGCGCGCUACACUGAUGCAUUCAACGAGUCUAAAACCUGCUCUGAUAGGGGUGGGUAAUCUUUUGAAUGUGCAUCGUGAUUGGGAUAGAUGAUUGCAAUUUUUCAUCUUCAACGAGGAAUGCCUAGUAAACGCAAGUCAUCAGCUUGCAUUGAUUACGUCCCUGCCCUUUGUACACACCGCCCGUCGCUCCUACCGAUUGAAUGGUCCGAUGAAUAUCAUGGAUUGAGGAUGUAAGCAGGUUCGCCUGUCUUCAUCUUCGAGAAGUGAAGUAAAUCUUAUCAUUUAGAGGAAGGAGAAGUCGUAACA